UACAGAGGUCUCAAGCGUUGUUCGGAUUCAUUGGGCGUAAAGGGUGCGUAGGCGGCGCGGCAAGUCGGUUGUGAAAUCUCGGAGCUUAACUCCGAGACUGCAUUCGAUACUGCCGUGCUUGAGGACUGGAGAGGAGACUGGAAUUUACGGUGUAGCGGUGAAAUGCGUAGAUAUCGUAAGGAAGACCAGUGGCGAAGGCGGGUCUCUGGACAGUUACUGACGCUCAUGCACGAAAGCGUGGGGAGCAAACAGG
rnacentral:rRNA from 1 species